AUUCUAGUUUUGAUAUGGGUAUUGGAGAAUAGAGCCUAGAUCAGCUAGGAGGUGAGGAAUGCCCAAACACCCUAAGCCAGAUCUUUAUCUUGAUUAUAAAGACAAUGUUUCUUGUCCAGCUGGAGGU
ensembl:misc_RNA